CCAACGCACCUGCCCACCUCCCUCCUGGGCUGUAACAGCUACCCAGAGGGCUGCUCUACUCUGGGGUCCCCCUGGGUCCAGAUCGUCUUAUAGAUGGGGCUGUCCUGAGACGGCAAGGUACUGAGCAGCCCCCAUGCCCCAACCCACGUCCAGCCCCC